UCAGAUAGUCAUGAUAUAUUGUUAGACAUCAAUUUUAACUUAUGGACUCAUCAGAAUUAAAAGAAUUUAAUUCUAGAAUUAAUUAGAAAGAGUCCUAGUUGAUUGAGACUCUUGAGCUGACCUAAUUUAAUCGGAUUAGGGUUAUGUCGAGAGUCUGGAUCCAUUACUGGCUAGAUUUGGAAUCUAAUAGGUUACACACAAUAGAGAUUUGGUCUUGAUCCAAUCUAUUUAGAUUUAUUAUAAAUCUAAUGGGUUAAUUGAAUUUUUAGCACAUGAGUUAAUCCAAGUUCCCAAUUGGGUUCAGUGCAAAGGAGUUUGUGCUAACCCUUGACUUGUUGCCUUGACCUAAUGUGAUUGGGUUUGAACCAUCUAAUUGUUAGGUGGCUGAUCUAAUUUUUAUGAAAGAGUUCAUAAGUAAUCAACCUCCUCCACACCAAAACCACAC
rnacentral:lncRNA from 1 species